CUCGAGGGCAUCUGAAUCCCGAUAGAAGAAUCAGGUUUGUUUUUCCUUAGAAAUUUCAUAUUAUGUUGUAAUUUUAACGUGGAAACGACCAAAUGUGAAUCAGGAAGGAAUCGUCAUUACUAUUGGGCUGCAUUACUUGUGUUCUCUAUUUACAGGUCAUGAAGCCCAAAACCAAGCCCAUACGAAUGAUGCUGAUGCUGGCCCAAACUAGAAUCAAGAGAGGACGCAAGGAGCUGCCGCUGCUGCAACUCUCUUGACCUAGCCGCGACUGAGAUGAGAAAGGAAAGAGGGAUUCUUCCUCGAAGCUUCCUCUGGCGUGGUUCAUCAGCAAGGGCAUCGUCUCGUAAACUAUAAAAGCGAGCCGCAACUUGCCUUCAUCCUUGCGCUUUUCACCUUUGAGAAGACGUGGGCUGGGAUGGCAAAUGCAGAGGGGCCUUUGUAUAGGAUUGCCGAGCUUCAACAAUCGUCAACCUGAUCGGAGAGUCGAGGACUACGGUGGACUGCAGCAGGAGGGUGCACCUGCGAUCGGAGGUUUUGAUUGGAGGUUGAAGACUUCAAGUGUUUAGGUCAUAAAGUCGCCGGGUUUCAUUUUAUCGUUUUGUUUUUAGUUCUUGCUACUGGUUCUAUUUCUGCAUUUUACCUUUGGUUCAGUAGCUAGUUAGAGUCUUGGGUUUUGAUUAAGUUUGUUGUGUAACUUGCUCAUCUGUGUCAAACUUAAUCACACUUUUGAUUCAUCUUGUGUUUAAUCCAAGUUGUCCUACUAUAUCGUUAGAAUUGCAUAAUAAGAUUAUACAUUGAUUGAUCUAGAAUUCUGACAGUAGUUCUUAGCUUGUAAUCAGCUUGUAAUCUAUGUUGCUGGUACUGUUAUUCCUAUCACGCUACGAUUGUGUUCAAUUGCCUUUCCUCAGGAACAGUGAUUCAUUCUUUAUUAACUUAAAGAGUUAC
rnacentral:lncRNA from 1 species